rnacentral:lncRNA from 10 species
UCCUCAGAACACUGCCAUUAAGGGCUUCGAGGUGAAGAUACAUUAGAUUAAAAAUAUGGCAGACAGGGACCCUGAAGCACUUUAAGAAAGCUUGGUCUGCAGGAAAUCCUCAUCUUGGCUCCAAUCAUCAGAAAACUUGAUCUUUACCAGAGUACAUCAUAAAUCAGAAGGCAAUGGAAUGACCAUUUUAAAGGAUCAAAGAGAAAAAAGCCACAUAGAAAUCUCAACCUAUGGGCCAUAGCCUUUAAAAAUACAGUAAAACAAAGACUUCAUAUAAACUAAAGUGAGAAGUUGCUGUUGAAGCCACACUGCUGAUGAGGACUCAGGCAGGUGUCCCGAGAAAUCGCCCAGUCGUGAGAGGAACCAUAAGAACUUUGUAAG